AACAGCUAGAGUUUGAUCCUGGCUCAGGAUGAACGCUAGCGACAGGCCUAACACAUGCAAGUCGAGCGGCAGCACCUCGGGUGGCGAGCGGCGCACGGGUGAGUAACGCGUAUGUAACCUGCCCAUGAGUGGGGGAUAGCCCGGUGAAAACCGGAUUAAUACCCCAUGACACCAAUGUCUGACAUCAUUUAUUGGUUAAAGAUUGAUUGCUCAUGGAUGGACAUGCGUUGGAUUAGCUAGUCGGCGGGGCAACGGCCCACCGAGGCUACGAUCCAGUAGGGGUUCUGAGAGGAACGGUCCCCCACAUUGGUACUGAGACACGGACCAAACUCCGUACGGGAGGCAGCAGUGAGGAAUAUUGGUCAAUGGGCGGAAGCCUGAACCAGCCAAGUAGCGUGGGGGAUGACUGCCCUAUGGGUUGUAAACCCCUUUUGCGCGGGGAUAAACCGGCGGACGCGUCCGCCGCUGCAGGUACCGCGCGAAUAAGGACCGGCUAAUUCCGUGCC
rnacentral:rRNA from 1 species